AUUGAACGCUGGCGGCAUGCCUUACACAUGCAAGUCGAACGGCAGCACGGGUGCUUGCACCUGGUGGCGAGUGGCGAACGGGUGAGUAAUACAUCGGAACGUACCUUAUCGUGGGGGAUAACGCAGCGAAAGCUGUGCUAAUACCGCAUACGCCCUGAGGGGGAAAGCGGGGGAUCGAAAGACCUCGCGCGAUUAGAGCGGCCGAUGCCUGAUUAGCUUGUUGGUGGGGUAAAAGCCCACCAAGGCGACGAGCAGUAGCUGGUCUGAGAGGACGAUCAGCCACCCUGGGAAUGGGACACGGCCCAGACUCCGACGGGAGGCAGCAGUGGGGAAUUUUGGACAAGGGGGGCAACCCUGAUCCAGCAAUGCCGCGUGAGUGAAGAAGGCCUUCGGGUUGUAAAGCUCUUUUGUCAGGGAAGAAACACCGGCUCUAACACAGUCCGGGAAUGACGGUACCUGAAGAAUAAGCACCGGCUAACUACGUGCCAGCAGCCGCCGUAA
rnacentral:rRNA from 1 species